rnacentral:rRNA from 1 species
AGAGUUUGAUCCUGGCUCAGGAUGAACGCUGGCGGCGUGCCUAACACAUGCAAGUCGAGCGAUCUUCCUCGGAAGAGAGCGGCGGACGGGUGAGUAACGCGUGGGUAACCUGCCCUGUACACACGGAUAACAUACCGAAAGGUAUGCUAAUACGGGAUAAUGUAUUUUAGUCGCAUGGCUAAAAUAUCAAAGCUCCGGCGGUACAGGAUGGACCCGCGUCUGAUUAGCUAGUUGGUAAGGUAACGGCUUACCAAGGCGACGAUCAGUAGCCGACCUGAGAGGGUGAUCGGCCACACUGGAACUGAGACACGGUCCAGACUCCUACGGGAGGCAGCAGUGGGGAAUAUUGCACAAUGGGCGAAAGCCUGAUGCAGCAACGCCGCGUGAGCGAUGAAGGCCUUCGGGUCGUAAAGCUCUGUCCUCAAGGAAGAUAAUGACGGUACUUGAGGAGGAAGCCCCGGCUAACUACGUGCCAGCAGCCGCGGUAAUACGUAGGGGGCUAGCGUUAUCCGGAAUUACUGGGCGUAAAGGGUGCGUAGGCGGUCUUUCAAGCCAGAAGUGAAAGGCUACGGCUCAACCGUAGUAAGCUUUUGGAACUGUAGGACUUGAGUGCAGGAGAGGAGAGUAGAAUUCCUAGUGUAGCGGUGAAAUGCGUAGAUAUUAGGAGGAAUACCAGUAGCGAAGGCGGCUCUCUGGACUGUAACUGACGCUGAGGCACGAAAGCAUGGGGAGCAAACAGGAUUAGAUACCCUGGUAGUCCAUGCCGUAAACGAUGAGUACUAGGUGUCGGGGGUUACCCCCCUCGGUGCCGCAGCUAACGCAUUAAGUACUCCGCCUGGGAAGUACGCUCGCAAGAGUGAAACUCAAAGGAACUGACGGGGACCCGCACAAGUAGCGGAGCAUGUGGUUUAAUUCGAAGCAACGCGAAGAACCUUACCUAAGCUUGACAUCCCACUGACCUCUCCCUAAUCGGAGAUUUCCCUUCGGGGACAGUGGUGACAGGUGGUGCAUGGUUGUCGUCAGCUCGUGUCGUGAGAUGUUGGGUUAAGUCCCGCAACGAGCGCAACCCUUGCCUUUAGUUGCCAGCAUUAAGUUGGGCACUCUAGAGGGACUGCCGAGGAUAACUCGGAGGAAGGUGGGGAUGACGUCAAAUCAUCAUGCCCCUUAUGCUUAGGGCUACACACGUGCUACAAUGGGUGGUACAGAGGGUUGCCAAGCCGCGAGGUGGAGCUAAUCCCUUAAAGCCAUUCUCAGUUCGGAUUGUAGGCUGAAACUCGCCUACAUGAAGCUGGAGUUACUAGUAAUCGCAGAUCAGAAUGCUGCGGUGAAUGCGUUCCCGGGUCUUGUACACACCGCCCGUCACACCACGGAAGUUGGGGGCGCCCGAAGCCGGUUAGCUAACCUUUUGGAAGCGGCCGUCGAAGGUGAAACCAAUAACUGGGGUGAAGUCGUAACAAGGUAACCGUA